rnacentral:rRNA from 1 species
GGUGGACGCUGGCGGCGUGCUUAACACAUGCAAGUCGAACGAGAACGGAAUAUAGCUUGCUAUAUUUGUCAGCUAUGUGGCGCACGGGUGAGUAAUGUAUAGAUAACCUGCCCUUAAGAAAGGAAUAACAGUUGGAAACGACUGCUAAUGCCCUAUAUGCCUUUAAUACAUAAGUAUGCAAGGGAAACGCUUUAGUGCUUAAGGAUGGGUCUGUAUGGUAUCAGCUUGUUGGUGAGGUAAUGGCUCACCAAGGCUAUGACGCCUAACUGGUUUGAGAGGAUGAUCAGUCACACUGGAACUGAGACACGGUCCAGACUCCUACGGGAGGCAGCAGUGGGGAAUAUUGCACAAUGGACGAAAGUCUGAUGCAGCAACGCCGCGUGGAGGAUGACACAUUUCGGUGCGUAAACUCCUUUUAUAUAGGAAGAUAAUGACGGUACUAUAUGAAUAAGCACCGGCUAACUCCGUGCCAGCCGCCGCCGUAACAC